rnacentral:rRNA from 1 species
CGCCUACGGGGGGCAGCAGCCGCGGUAAUACAGAGGUCUCAAGCGUUGUUCGGAAUCACUGGGCGUAAAGCGUGCAUAGGCUGUUUCGUAAGUCGUGUGUGAAAGGCGCGGGCUCAACCCGCGGACGGCACAUGAUACUGCGAGACUAGAGUAAUGGAGGGGGAACCGGAAUUCUCGGUGUAGCAGUGAAAUGCGUAGAUAUCGAGAGGAACACUCGUGGCGAAGGCGGGUUCCUGGACAUUAACUGACGCUGAGGCACGAAGGCCAGGGGAGCGAAAGGGAUUAGAAACCCCAGUAGUCCAGAU